rnacentral:rRNA from 1 species
UACGGAGGCAGCAGUGAGGAAUAUUGGUCAAUGGACGAGAGUCUGAACCAGCCAAGUAGCGUGAAGGAUGACUGCCCUAUGGGUUGUAAACUUCUUUUAUACGGGAAUAAAGUGAGGCACGUGUGCCUUUUUGUAUGUACCGUAUGAAUAAGGAUCGGCUAACUCCGUGCCAGCAGCCGCGGUAAU